GCCUCGGUAACUCAGUUGGUAGAGUUCCCGACUCUUAAUCGGAGAGCCGCUGGUUCGAGUCCAGCCCGAGGCA
rnacentral:tRNA from 1 species